UACGUAGGGACCAAGCGUUGUUCGGAUUUACUGGGCGGAAAGGGCGCGUAGGCGGCAAUUCAAGUCAGCUGUGAAAUCUCCGGGCUUAACUCGGAACGGUCAGCUGAUACUGCUUUGCUAGAGUGCGGAAGGGGCAAUCGGAAUUCUCGGUGUAGCGGUGAAAUGCGUAGAUAUCGAGAGGAACACCUGAGGUGAAGACGGGUUGCUGGGCCGACACUGACGCUGAGGCGCGAAAGCCAGGGUAGCAAACGGG
rnacentral:rRNA from 1 species